GAGGAAGCACGUAAUGCUGAUGACGGGCCGGCGGCAGUGAGUUACGUGCUGUCCUGACCUGAAAAGCUGGAUUGGCAACGACACCUGAUGUCCCAGCAGAGGGCUGCUGCCGUGCCAUCUGUGCAGGAGAAUUGAACAAAUUGCAAUGAUGGAAACUGAAAAGCAUUUAGCCACCUUCAUUUCACUGAUGUCAGCCUGCUGCCUAAGAUUCACAGGGGUUCCCAAGAGGAAAUAUGUCACUAGAUGCUUGCCAGCCACCGUUCUCUCCUUCCCCCAGGUUUGCCGGAUGACCAUCCUGGCAUUGAUGUCUUGACAUGAGGAUGCCACAAGUAGUACAAGGAAAGCGUAGAAUCAUGGGAUCACCAAGAUUGGAGAAGACCUCCAAUAUCAUCUACUCCAACCACCCACCAACCAUCAGCAUUUCCCCACUAAGCAUGUUACCAGCAUGCCUUUGACCCAUCAGCAGUGACACUCAUGCCAGGUGAGAGAAAAUAACAGUAAUACAAGUUUUAAAUACCAUAUUU